UUAAGCAUAUCAAUAAGCGGAGGAAAAGAAACCAACCGGGAUUGCCCUAGUAACGGCGAGUGAAGCGGCAAGAGCUCAAAUUUGAAAGCUGGCUCCUUCGGGGUCCGCAUUGUAAUUUGCAGAGGAUGCUUCGGGAGCGGUCCCCAUCUAAGUGCCCUGGAACGGGCCGUCAUAGAGGGUGAGAAUCCCGUAUGGGAUGGGGUGCCCGCGCCCGUGUGAAGCUCCUUCGACGAGUCGAGUUGUUUGGGAAUGCAGCUCUAAUUGGGUGGUAAAUUUCAUCUAAAGCUAAAUAUUGGCCGGAGACCGAUAGCGCACAAGUAGAGUGAUCGAAAGAUGAAAAGCACUUUGAAAAGAGAGUUAAACAGCACGUGAAAUUGUUGAAAGGGAAGCGCUUGCGAUCAGACUCGCUCGCGGGGUUCAGCCGGCCUUCGGGCCGGUGUACUUCCCCGCGGGCGGGCCAGCGUCGGUUUGGGCGGCCGGUCAAAGGCCCCUGGAAUGUAACGCCUCUCGGGGCGUCUUAUAGCCAGGGGUGCCAUGCGGCCUGCCCGGACCGAGGAACGCGCUUCGG
rnacentral:rRNA from 1 species